UGAGCAAUCUGCCCAUCUCUUUGGAAUAAGCGUUGGAAACGACGCCUAAUGCCGAAUACGACCUCCUUUCGCAUGAUCGGAGGUGGAAAGCUCCGGCGGAGAUGGAUGAGCUCGCGGCCUAUCAGCUAGUUGGUGAGGUAAUGGCACCAGGGCGACGACGGGUAGCCGGCCUGAGAGGGUGACCGGCCACACUGGGACUGAGACACGGCCCAGACUCCGUAGGA
rnacentral:rRNA from 1 species